rnacentral:tRNA from 1 species
GCGCUCGUAGUUCAAAUGGAUAGAGCACCGGGCUUCGAUCCCGUAGGUUGCAGGUUCGAGCCCUGCCGAGCGCA